GAACGCACUAAGUUGACCGCCUGUGGUGUACGGCCGCAAGGUAAAACUCAAAUGAAUUCACGGGGGCCCGACACAAGCGGUGGAGCAUGUGGUUUACAUCGAUGCAAUUCGAAGAACCUUACCAUCCCCUUACAUCCAGAGAAGCGACUAGAGAUAGACGUGUGCCUUCGGGAACUCUGUGACAGGUGCUGCAAACACAUCGUCAGCUCGUGUGUCGAAAUGUUGGGUUAAGUGCCGCAACGAGCGCAACCCCUAUCCUUAUUAGCCAGCGUGUAGUGGCGGGACCUUUAAGGAGACUGUCGGUGAUAAACCGCAGGAAUGUGGGGGAGGAAUCAAGUCAUCAUGGCCCUUACGCGAUGGCCUACACACGUGGUACAAUGGCAGGUACCGAGGGCAUCAAUACCAGGAGGUGGAGCGAAUACCACAAACAAAGUCGUAAUCGGGAUUGGAGUUUGCAACUCGAUUCCAUGAAGUAGGACUCGAAGCUAAUCGUAGAUCAGAAUGUGGAUGGUGAAUACGUUCCCGGGCCUUUUACACACCGCCCGCCACCCCAUGGGAGUGGGAUGCAAAAGAAGUGGCUAGUUUAACCAUUGGGGGAGGACGGGACCCACUUAUGAUUUAUGACUGGGGUGAAGUCGUAACAAGGUACC
rnacentral:rRNA from 1 species